rnacentral:misc_RNA from 1 species
CCGACGCGCCGGUGGCGGCGGGGUGGGAGGGAGCAGCGGGCGCACGACUCGAGGCCGGGGCAGCGGCGGCCCCACAGGAGAGCGUUGCGCGUGCGGCAAGGCCCCACGUGGUCGCUGCUUUCUCUGUGAAGAGUAAAGAUGUGACUGGUGACGUGGUAGCGGUGCGAAAGGCUUUUCUCUAUCUUCCUCUCCCGCUGGUCUUCCACCCGCGUCGCUUAGGCUUCUUCCGUGGUGCGUGAAGCCCUCUCGGCACGUAGUGGAGGGACGUAUUCUUCUUGCUCGUCGCUGCGCUGUGGUGGCUGUGGUAUCGCCCCCGCCCUCUCUCCUCGGCUCUCUCCCAGGCUGCUCUCUUGUGUUCUUGUUUUUCAGGCACCCCUCACCACUUCAUCCUUCCGCCAAUGCAGUAGUGCAAGGGCGCAAGAAGCGAGCCCCAGCAAGGCUCUUCUCAUAUCCCACAUGGGCGUCGUCUCUGCUAUAGUUUUGCACGGACAAGAAAUGCGCCAAGCAGUGUGGCGUGGUGCAUGCCAUGUAGGCAGUGAACGCCACCACCGCCGGCAUCAUCUAGCCGAGAAGAAUGCGCUUCGAAUGCCGCGUCUCACCAGUGACACCCCAUCUGCGGAGUAGGUCUGUGCUGGUCUCCCUCCCCCUUUUCCUGGCGCUCCUCUCACCUCAACCUUUUUCUGUUCUGUCUUCUGAUCGGCACUAGCGAAG